rnacentral:rRNA from 1 species
GACGAACGCUGGCGGCGUGCUUAACACAUGCAAGUCGAACGGAAAGGCCCUGCUUUUGUGGGGUGCUCGAGUGGCGAACGGGUGAGUAACACGUGAGUAACCUGCCCUUGACUUUGGGAUAACUUCAGGAAACUGGGGCUAAUACCGGAUAGGAGCUCCUGCUGCAUGGUGGGGGUUGGAAAGUUUCGGCGGUUGGGGAUGGACUCGCGGCUUAUCAGCUUGUUGGUGGGGUAGUGGCUUACCAAGGCUUUGACGGGUAGCCGGCCUGAGAGGGUGACCGGACCCAUUGGGACUGAGCUACGGCCCAGACUCCUACGGGAGGCAGCAGUGGGGAAUAUUGCACAAUGGGCGGAAGCCUGAUGCAGCAACGCCGCGUGCGGGAUGACGGCCUUCGGGUUGUAAACCGCUUUCGCCUGUGACGAAGCGUGAGUGACGGUAAUGGGUAAAGAAGCACCGGCUAACUACGUG